ACAGAGGUGCCAAGCGUUAGGCGGAAUCACUGGGCUUAAAGCGUGUGUAGGCGGGUCGUUAAGUACCUUGUGAAAUCCCACGGCUCAACCGUGGAACUGCUUGGUAUACUGGCGAUCUUGAGCCAGCUAGGGGCUACCGGAACAAACGGUGGAGCGGUGAAAUGCGUAGAUAUCGUUUGGAACGCCAAUGGUGAAAACAGGUAGCUGGGGCUGUGCUGACGCUGAGACACGAAAGCCAGGGGAGCGAACGGGA
rnacentral:rRNA from 1 species